rnacentral:lncRNA from 1 species
GAUUAAUUUGAUGAUUAGAUCAUAUGCAUAUUAGAUUAAUUUGAUUAAUCUAAUUAUCUUUUGCUGUAAUUUAUUCAAAAAAAUUUUGAAAUACAUGAAUGAAAUCACCUAUGUUCUCCAACAGUCGGGGCCUUAAGAAUAAAUAGUGAAAAAUAAAGAAGUAGAGAGCAAGCAGUGUAAAUUAGAAUGGAGAAAAUUCAAAUUUCUUUCAGUGGG